GAUUAGAACGCUGGCGGCAUGCCUUACACAUGCAAGUCGAACGGCAGCACGGGGGGCAACCCUGGUGGCGAGUGGCGAACGGGUGAGUAAUACAUCGGAACGUGCCCCCGUAGCGGGGGACAACCAGUCGAAAAGACUGGCUAAUACCGCAUACGCUCCACGGAGGAAAGCAGGGGAUCGCAAGACCUUGACACUAUGGGAGCGGCCGAUGCCCGAUUAGCUAGUUGGUGAGGUAAAGGCUCACCAAGACAACGAUCGGUAGCUGGUCUGAGAGGACGACCAGCCACACUGGGACUGAGACACGGCCCAGACUCCGUACGGGA
rnacentral:rRNA from 1 species